AAUUCCCUUUCUUGCUUGAUUAUUUAAAUUGAGAUACAGUUUGAUUCCAUAUUGACUGUUACCUUUUCAUCUUCAUCAUCACUUCCACCACCACCACCACCAACAUCAUCAUCAAUUGAAAUUACCUGAAAGAACCAAGUUUCACCUUUUGAUUACCCAAUCUUCUGCUCGUUUUUACAGUUUUACAGUCAAUUUACAAUUUUACCCGUUCAGUUUUCAGUGUAUUUUUUUAAUUGUUUUUAAAUUCUGCUAUUAAUACCUUGUGAGUUUUUUAUCUUCAAAUUUUUUAAUAAAAAUGCGUGAAAUUAUUCAAAUUCAAACUGGACAAUGUGGUAAUCAAAUUGGUUCCAAAUUUUGGCAAGUUAUUGCUGAUGAACACGGAAUUGAUGGCAAUGGGAGAUGUACUGCUAUCAAUGAUCUUUCUAGCAAAGUUACUAAUGACCGUACCUCUAAGUUGGAAAGAAUUAAUGUUUACUUUAAUGAAGCCGGAGAGGGAGUCUAUGUUCCUAGAUCCAUUUUGGUUGAUCUCGAACCAGGUACAAUGGAAGCAGUAAGGUCAGGUCCUUUAGGAGGCAUAUUUCGACCAGACAAUUUUAUUAAUGGCCAAUCUGGAGCUGGUAAUAAUUGGGCAAAGGGUUAUUACACCGAGGGAGCAGAAUUGGUUGAUUCAGUGAUGGACGUUUUACGUCGUGAAGCUGAAAGGUGUGAUUGUUUACAAGGUUUUCAGCUGUGUCACUCUUUAGGUGGUGGUACCGGUUCUGGUAUGGGUACUUUAAUUAUUUCUAAAAUUCGAGAGGAAUAUCCUGAUCGUAUUAUGACUACCUUCUCAGUUUUUCCAUCACCUAAAGUGUCUAACACUGUUGUUGAGCCUUACAAUGCAACUCUCUCAGUUCACCAAUUAUUGGAGUCAACUGAUAUGACCUUUGUUAUUGACAAUGAAGCUCUUCAUGAUAUUUGUUUACGCUCAUUGAAACUUUCUGAACCAACCUAUGGUGAUCUCAAUCAAUUAGUAUCUUACACUAUGUCCGGAGUCACAACUUGUCUUCGUUUCCCUGGUCAAUUAAAUGCUGAUCUUAGGAAGCUGGCAGUAAACAUGGUUCCCUUUCCUCGUUUGCAUUUCUUUGUUUCUAGUUUUGCUCCAAUCAUGUCAAGAGCUUCUCGUAAUUUCUCUAGUUUAUCUGUACAUGAACUGUCACAACAGAUGAUUGAUUCAAAGAAUAUGAUGGCUGCUUGUGACGCUAAACAUGGCCGUUAUUUGGCUGUAGCAGCUAUUUUCCGUGGUAAAAUGUCAACCAAAGAAGUAGAAGACGAAAUGACUGCAAUGCAAAGUAAAAAUUCAGCCUAUUUCGUUGAUUGGAUUCCUAAUAAUGUAAAACUGCUGUCUGUGAUAUCCCACCAAAAGAUUUCCAAUGUCAGCCACAUUCAUCGGCAAUACAACUGCCAGUCAAGAGGUAUUCAAAAGACUCCAAGAACAAUUCUUUUCCAUGUUCAGGCGAAAAGCUUUCCUUCAUUGGUAUACUGGUGAAGGUAUGGAUGAAAUGGAAUUCACAGAAGCACAAUCUAAUAUGGCUGACUUGAUUGCUGAAUAUCAACAAUACCAAGAGGUUGGAACAGCCGAUGAAGAUGAAGAUGGAAGAGAAGAAGAAGCUGAUUAUAACUGAAAAUUUCACCAAGUCUUGUUAUCUUGUUUCAUAAAAUGCCCGCUGUUCUGUGUUUAAUGUUUUAUUAGAAAUGAAAUCAUGGUCUCACUAUAUGUUUUAAUCAAAAACCAUUAUUUUUAACCAUUAAAAAUGAUUUAAUACUAAACAGUUUUACUCCUACAUAAGUAAUGGAGAAAUUAAAUUUCAUUGAACCAUUUGUUAUUUCUGUAAUUAAAGAAAAACCAUUGAAAACGAUAAAGAAGAUAAUUAAACGAGAGAUUCUUCUAAUAA